rnacentral:rRNA from 2 species
CUCGGGUGAAGGAACUAGGCAAAAUGGUGCCGUAACUUCGGGAGAAGGCACGCUGACACGUAGGUGAAGUGGUUUACCCAUGGAGCUGAAGUCAGUCGAAGAUACCAGCUGGCUGCAACUGUUUAUUAAAAACACAGCACUGUGCAAACACGAAAGUGGACGUAUACGGUGUGACGCCUGCCCGGUGCCGGAAGGUUAAUUGAUGGGGUCAGCGCAAGCGAAGCUCCUGAUCGAAGCCCCGGUAAACGGCGGCCGUAACUAUAACGGUCCUAAGGUAGCGAAAUUCCUUGUCGGGUAAGUUCCGACCUGCACGAAUGGCGUAAUGAUGGCCAGGCUGUCUCCACCCGGGACUCAGUGAAAUUGAACUCGCUGUGAAGAUGCAGUGUACCCGCGGCAAGACGGAAAGACCCCGUGAACCUUUACUAUAGCUUGACACUGAACACUGGUCCUUGAUGUGCAGGAUAGGUGGGAGGCUUUGAAGUGUGGACGCCAGUCUGCAUGGAGCCAUCCUUGAAAUACCACCCUUUAAUGGCUGGUGUUCUAACGUGGGCCCGUGAACCGGGUUGCGGACAGUGUCUGGUGGGUAGUUUGACUGGGGCGGUCUCCUCCUAAAGAGUAACGGAGGAGCACGAAGGUUGGCUAAUCCUGGUCGGACAUCAGGAGGUUAGUGCAAUGGCAUAAGCCAGCUUGACUGCGAGCGUGACGGCGCGAGCAGGUGCGAAAGCAGGUCAUAGUGAUCCGGUGGUUCUGAAUGGAAGGGCCAUCGCUCAACGGAUAAAAGGUACUCCGGGGAUAACAGGCUGAUACCGCCCAAGAGUUCAUAUCGACGGCGGUGUUUGGCACCUCGAUGUCGGCUCAUCACAUCCUGGGGCUGAAGUAGGUCCCAAGGGUAUGGCUGUUCGCCAUUUAAAGUGGUACGCGAGCUGGGUUUAGAACGUCGUGAGACAGUUCGGUCCCUAUCUGCCGUGGGCGCUGGAAGAUUGAGGGGGGCUGCUCCUAGUACGAGAGGACCGGAGUGGACGCAUCACUGGUGUUCGGGUUGUCAUGCCAAUGGCACUGCCCGGUAGCUACAUGCGGAAGAGAUAAGUGCUGAAAGCAUCUAAGCACGAAACUUGCCCCGAGAUGAAUCUUCCCUGAGCCUUUAAGGCUCCUGAAGGAACGUUGAAGACGACGACGUUGAUAGGCCGGGUGUGUAAGCGCAGCGAUGCGUUGAGCUAACCGGUACUAAUGAACCGUGAGGCUUAACCUU